rnacentral:rRNA from 1 species
AGAACGAACGCUGGCGGCAGGCUUAACACAUGCAAGUCGAACGGUUGUAGCAAUACAGCAGUGGCAGACGGGUGAGUAACACGUGGGAACCUUCCUAGGGGUACGGAACAACUCAGGGAAACUUGAGCUAAUACCGUAUACGUCCGUAAGGAGAAAGAUUCAUCGCCCCUAGACGGGCCCGCGUAGGAUUAGGUAGUUGGUGAGGUAACGGCUCACCAAGCCUACGAUCCUUAGCUGAUCUGAGAGGAUGAUCAGCCACACUGGGACUGAGACACGGCCCAGACUCCUACGGGAGGCAGCAGUGGGGAAUCUUGGACAAUGGGCGCAAGCCUGAUCCAGCCAUGCGCGUGAGUGAAGAAGGCCUUCGGGUUGUAAAGCUCUUUUACCAGGGACGAUAAUGACGGUACCUGGAGAAUAACGCCCGGCAAACUUCGUAGCCAGCAGCCGC